CAGCCGCAUGCAUCCAACAGUCCAUGUGUUUUACCCUUAAUGUCUGGUCUAUAAAAGUCUGACUGCAGGGAACCCCACAAUCAUGUCUCUUGAAGAAAUGGAGUAGAAGCACCCAUUCUUGAUAAACCCUUUAAUGACUUUAUCAAAUUGGAGAUGGUUGACCUCUCAUCACUCAAAGUAAGUGACAUCUCAGAGAAACCCUAGGAAACGUGGGUUAGGGAGACUUUGCCAAGUUACCACAGAACACCCCCGUGAUGACCCCUGCAAUAAGCACUCUCGCCGGAUAGCUGCCAGAACAGGAGGAUAGCCUCAAGUCAAGUCAGUCAUUGGUUAAGUCUGUCACAAGUCACGUCUGUCAUCAGUCUAGUCAGUCUAAAGUUGAACCUGUCUCCAGUCAGUCUAAAGACAAGUCAACACAGGAGAAUUACAAGUCCAAGAAGGGUUAUGUCUGCAUUGAUUCUUAAACUGUACAAGGCAUGUGACAGUAAUGCCUCAAAUCAUUCAACAACUAAAGAUACUGGAUUUUAUUUACACUAUAUAUCUUAGGAAACCUAUAUACAAACAAUAUUCAUAUGUAAAGUAUAGCUCUAGAGUGAAGUUGCCUUUUAAGUUACCAAUUGAAGGAUAUUGCACAAAUGUUUAUUUACCCUUUCAUCCAAACUGGCUAUUGUGUAAUAUUACAGCUAACCAUUGUGCUGGUGGUGAACGUGAACAUGACCUUGUGCAUGAACUAUAAAGGCUGACGUCUCUGCAGUGGCUACACUCAUAUGGUGCACGCACAUUACCAACAGGAAUACAUUAGAAACUUUACUACUAAAUUACAGGACAGAACAAAUGAACCAAUAGGCCCCCUCCAUGAGACUACACCCCCCUCCCAACUUCACUGUGACUCAUUGAAACAGUCAGUGGUAUGCUCCUUGU